GCGAUCCUCCCGGCCUCAGCCUCCAGAGUAGCUGGAACUACAGCUACUUGGAGUAUGAUGGGAGAGCCUGGUUUCUAAGGUAACCACAGACAGGAAGGUAGCAAGCUGGGGACGCUGAAGGGCACACCUGGAAGGUGACCCUGCAAACAAUGCAGACCUCUCACUGUGAGUAAAGCACCCUAGAAGGAGAAUGACAGUAACCUGGAGUUCAUCUCUUUAAAAGAAACACCAGUCAGGGAUGGAGAUGUCUGCUCAUGGAUGAGAAGUUGCUUCUCUAGAAUUCACAUCGUGAACCAUUCAAGGUUUUUCAUCACUGCUCUCCGUCAGCUAUUCA